AAAGGGCAAAGCCUGGUUAUAAAAGCCCACGGCCACCCGGGGGCUGAGAGGAGCACAGGUGUCACACAAUGCUGCCCUCCUGGAUCGUCGGCCUCCUCCUGCUGGCCACCGUCAGAGGAAAGGAGGUCUGCUAUCCACCUUUCGGCUGCUUCCCCGAUGAGAAGCCUUGGACAGGGAUCGUACAGCGGCCCUUGAAGCUAUCCCCCUGGUCCCCCAAGGACAUCAACACCCGGUUUCUUCUCUACACAAAUGAGAAUCCCAACAGC